UGAAGAGGGGCCUUGCCCAUGGCAAAGU
rnacentral:piRNA from 1 species